rnacentral:lncRNA from 1 species
GUCGUAGUCCGACUCAGAAGCGUCAGCUUGCCACUCAUCCAGCACUGACAUGGACUGGGCAGGGCCCUGCUCUUCGUCUGAAGAGUACUCCUGAUGCGGGGCCGGGGUGUGUAGUUUGGCAGACUUGCGCUUGGCAGGUGCCUUACCCUUAGGUGGUUUGGGUGUAUAAUCUUCGCCUUUGUCAUGGUGUUUUUUAGGGCGGGAGUCAACCCUUGUCUGGUGGUCGGACAAUUCAGAAUCCGACUCGUG